GAUGAACGCUAGCUACAGGCUUAACACAUGCAAGUCGUGGGGCAUCAUGAUGUAGUAAUACAUUGAUGGCGACCGGCGCACGGGUGAGUAACGCGUAUCCAACCUACCCUCCACUCAAGUAUAGGCUUCCGAAAGGGAGAUUAAUCCUUGAUAUCGUCAUUCUCUCUCCUGUUAGAAUGAUAAAAGGACAUCGUUUCGGUAGAGGAUGGGGAUGCGUUCCAUUAGGUAGUAGGUGGUUUAACAGGCCACCUAGCCGAUGAUGGAUAGGGGUUCUGAGAGGAAUAUCCCCCACACUGGUACUGAGAUACGGACCAGACUCCUACGGGAGGCAGCAGUGAGGAAUAUUGGUCAAUGGGCGCAAGCCUGAACCAGCCAUGUAGCGUGAAGGAUGACGGUUUUUUUGAUUGUAAACUUCUUUUCUGUGCGAUUAAAGUGUGGCAUUUAUGCCAUAUUGCAGUAU
rnacentral:rRNA from 1 species